GGGGAUUUAGCUAGGUGGCAUAAGCACCUGCCUUGCAAGCAGGUGGUCGUGAGUUCAAUCCCCG
rnacentral:tRNA from 1 species